AUCAGUGUGGUGUAGUGGUUUGAACAUUGGACUAUGACUCUGGAGGCCAGGGUUCAAAUCCCAGGUCAGGUG